AUUGAACGCUGGCGGAAUGCCUUACACAUGCAAGUCGAACGGCAGCACGGACUUCGGUCUGGUGGCGAGUGGCGAACGGGUGAGUAAUGUAUCGGAACGUGCCCAGUCGUGGGGGAUAACGUAGUGAAAAUUACGCUAAUACCGCAUACGAUCUAUGGAUGAAAGCGGGGGAGCGCAAGACCUCGCGCGAUUGGAGCGGCCGAUAUCAGAUGAGGUAGUUGGUGGGGUAAAGGCCCACCAAGCCAACGAUCUGUAGCUGGUCUGAGAGGACGACCAGCCACACUGGAACUGAGACACGGUCCAGACUCCUACGGGAGGCAGCAGUGGGGAAUUUUGGACAAUGGGCGAAAGCCUGAUCCAGCCAUUCCGCGUGCAGGAUGAAGGCCCUCGGGUUGUAAACUGCUUUUGUACAGAACGAAAAGGUUUCUACUAAUACUAGGAGCUCAUGACGGUACUGUAAGAAUAAGCACCGGCUAACUACGUGCCAGCCGCCGCCGUAA
rnacentral:rRNA from 1 species